rnacentral:rRNA from 1 species
AUUGAACGCUGGCGGCAGGCCUAACACAUGCAAGUCGAACGAGUGGCGGACGGGUGAGUAAUGUCUGGGAAAAUGCCCGAUGGAGGGGGAUAACUACUGGAAACGGUAGCUAAUACCGCAUACCAUCGGAUGUGCCCAGAUGGGAUUAGCUCGUAGGUGGGGUAACGGCUCACCUAGGCGACGAUCCCUAGCUGGUCUGAGAGGAUGACCAGCCACCCUGGAACUGAGACACGGUCCAGACUCUUCGGGGAGUCACCAGUGGGGAAUAUUGCCCCAUGGGCGCAAGCCUGAUGCAGCCAUGCCGCGUGUAUGAAGGUGGCCUGCGGGUUGUAAAGUACUGUCAGCGAGGAGGCGUUACUCGCAGAAGAAGCACCGGCUAACUCCGUGCCAGCCGCCGCGGUAAUUC